GAAAUUGUCGUCCUCGGCGGCCAGCAGGGCUCUGAUGAAGUCGGGCGGAAUGUCUUCGAAGCGGAUCGGCGAGCGACGCAUCUCGCCGAACUCGGCGAUCAGCUUGCCGUCACUGCUGUAGACGCGCAGCGGUAUCUGCAGCUGGAUGCUGCGCAGCGACUCGACUGAGGGGAGGCCGGGACUAAGAUAGAGAAAGGCGCCGCUGAAACUGAGCACCAACCCGCAAAAAGCGGCGACACAAGACCACCAGAAAAACUUCAGCAAACGCAUCAAGGUUCUUGGAAUUCCAGGUAA
rnacentral:antisense_RNA from 1 species